rfam:Bacteroidales bacterium Barb7 Barb7_contig_680, whole genome shotgun sequence.
AGGAAAGAAAAGAAGGGCAGACGGCGGAUGCCUAGGCUCUCGGAGGCGACGAAGGACGCGGUAAGCUGCGAAAAGUCCGGGUGAGGCGCAAACAGCCCUUGACCCCGGAAUGUCCGAAUGGGGCAACCCGUCAGGUUGAAGGCCUGACACCUCUGUAACGGAGGAGCGAACGCGGGGAACUGAAACAUCUAAGUACCCGCAGGAAGAGAAAACAAAAGUGAUUGCGCAAGUAGCGGCGAGCGAACGCGCAGAAGCCCAAACCGUUGUUGUUUCGGCAAUAACGGGGUUGUAGGACUGCGAAAUGGCAAGAAAUCAGACAAGCGGAACGUUUUGGAAAGAACGGCCGAAGAGGGUGAAAGCCCCGUAUGCGGCUGUCUGAUGAAGCCUGGCAGUAUCCUGAGUAGCGCGGGACACGAGAAAUCCUGUGUGAAUCGGCGGGGCCCAUCCCGCAAGGCUAAAUACUCCCGAGAGACCGAUAGUGAACCAGUACCGUGAGGGAAAGGUGAAAAGCACCCCGGACAGGGGAGUGAAAAAGUUCCUGAACCCGUCUGCCUGCAAGCGGUCGGAGCAUCGAAAUGAUGUGACGGCGUGCCUUUUGCAUAAUGAACCUGCGAGUUGUUUUCUGUGGCAAGGUUAAGCGUUUAAGACGCGCAGCCGAAGCGAAAGCGAGUCUGAACAGGGCGAGUGAGUCACAGGGAGCAGACGCGAAACCAAGUGAUCUACCCGUGUCCAGGUUGAAGGUUGGGUAACACCAACUGGAGGACCGAAUCGUUAAGCGUUGAAAAGCUUUCGAAUGAGGUGCGGGUAGGGGUGAAAGGCUAAUCAAACUUGGAGAUAGCUCGUACUCCCCGAAAUGCAUUUAGGUGCAGCCUCUGUUGUAUUGGUAUGAGGUAGAGCGACUGAUUGGAUGCGAGGGCUUCACCGCCUGUCAAUUCCGGAUAAACUCCGAAUGCGUACCAAGAAAAGACAGGGAGUGAGGGCGCGGGUGCUAAGGUCCGCGUCCGAGAGGAGAAGAAUCCAGACCGCCGGCUAAGGCCCCCAAAUAACGGUUAAGUUGAACUAACGAAGUCGUACUGCAAAGACAGCCGGGAUGUUGGCUCGGAAGCAGCCAUUCAUUCAAAGAGUGCGUAACAGCUCACCGGUCAAGCAGUGCGGCGCGGAUAAUACUCGGGCAUAAACCGUUUGCCGAAGCCGCGGAUGUGUGAAGAACACAUGGUAGGGGAGCAUUCCGCGCAGUGUAGAAGAUAAGGGACGACCCUUGUUGGAGCGUGCGGAAAAGCAAAUGCAGGUAUAAGUAACGAUAAAGGAAGCGGGAAACUUCCUCGCCGAAAGACCAAGGGUUCCUGAUCAACGCUAAUCGGAUCAGGGUAAGUCGGGCCCUAAGGCGCAGCCGAAAGGCGUAGCCGACGGAAGAAAGGGUUAAUAUUCCCUUACUGCCUUAACGAGCGAUGCGGGGACGGAGAAGUGAAAGUCCUG